CGAGCGGGCGUAGCAAUACGUCAGCGGCAGACGGGUGAGUAACGCGUGGGAACGUACCUUUUGGUUCGGAACAACUGAGGGAAACUUCAGCUAAUACCGGAUAAGCCCUUACGGGGAAAGAUUUAUCGCCGAAAGAUCGGCCCGCGUCUGAUUAGCUAGUUGGUGAGGUAAUGGCUCACCAAGGCGACGAUCAGUAGCUGGUCUGAGAGGAUGAUCAGCCACAUUGGGACUGAGACACGGCCCAAACUCCUACGGGAGGCAGCAGUGGGGAAUAUUGGACAAUGGGCGAAAGCCUGAUCCAGCCAUGCCGCGUGAGUGAUGAAGGCCCUAGGGUUGUAAAGCUCUUUUGUGCGGGAAGAUAAUGACGGUACCGCAAGAAUAAGCCCCGGCUAACUUCGUGCCAGCAGCCGCGGUAAUACGAAGGGGGCUAGCGUUGCUCGGAAUCACUGGGCGUAAAGGGUGCGUAGGCGGGUCUUUAAGUCAGAGGUGAAUCCUGGAGCUCAACUCCAGAACUGCCUUUGAUACUGAAGAUCUUGAG
rnacentral:rRNA from 1 species